CCCAGGUACACCACUACAGCAGCUCCCGCCCCGCAUCACGGCCUUCCAUUCCCCAAUCUAGGGUGCGAGCUCCCCGCCACCGCCGGCCGUGCCCGAUGCGGACGUCGACGUCGAGAUGCGCGCCGCCGCCGCCGCCGGAGCCUCAGCCGCACCUGGCGACGACGAUGGCGAGGACGGCACCGGGGAGGAUGAGGAGGACGGAGAGGAGGUCGAUGACGAGGACGAGGACGAGGAUGAGGAGGAGCGGACCGCGCCGGCGCCGGCCGAGGAGCCUCCCGCCCCGGCGCCCGUCUCGGCCUUGCCGGGAAACCCGAACCAGCUGACGCUUCUCUUCCAGGGCGAAGUCUACGUGUUCGAAUCCGUCACCCCCGACAAGGUUGAAUCUGUCCUGUCCCUGUUAGGACGUGGUGAACUACCAGCUGAUUAUGCUGGCAAGGUUGUACCUAGUCAAAAUGAGAACAAGGGUUAUGAUGACAUACUUCGGAGGACAGACAUUCCUGCAAAAAGGGUUGCCUCUCUACUCAGGUUCCAUGAAAAACGGAAGGAAAGAAAUUUUGAUAAGAAAAUACGCUAUGCUGUUCACAAAGAAGUUGCACUCAGGAUGCAGCGCCGGAAAGGGCAAUUUGCUGGAAGGGCCAGUCUUGAGGGAGAAUCUCCAGCUCCUGGCUGUGAUCCUGGUUCCCAAAGCUCAGGCCUAGAUUUCGUAUCACGUGAAUCAAAGUGUCAGAACUGCGGUACUAGUGAAAAGAUGACCCCAGCAAUGCGUCGUGGUCCUGCUGGUCCAAGGACUUUGUGCAAUGCUUGUGGAUUGAUGUGGGCAAACAAGGAUUUGACUGCUGAUUCUUACAUAUGUAUUUGUUUUUUAUGGAAGUGGACAUCUUAUUGGACUUGCAGCUACCAAUUCACCUUUGGUAACUGCAGGGUACACUGAGAAGUUGUCCCAAGGCAAAAGUCGAAUCUCCUGUGGUUGGAAUUGGGCAGGUUGGAAAUGACAACAAAGUGCUGGUGACACCGAAGAAUGACAACGCUUCUGUUUCUGCAAGCAACAGCGAAGCCACAGUUGCAGCAGAGAGGAGCGCCAAAGGCGCCGUGACAGUAUAUAACACAUGAUUGUUGAAGACAAAGAUCUGGAAUUCUUUGCCUAUAGCUAGACAAGACACCUCGGUAGAAAGCUCUGCUAAUGCGGAAUACUGAUUCUCGUCAAGUGUACAUUCAUUCCUUGCUUGACAGUGUUAGGCAUGUAAUUAACAUAAGGCAUCCGAUUGAUGUAUGUUGUGUAUUUUUUAUUCAAAUCAUGUAUGUUGUGUAAACUGUAAGCCAGAUGGCAUCUGUUGUAUUACAUUUGCUGCUUUCCUGAGCAUGUGACAUUCACAUAAGCCAUAAUAGAGGAUUCUCAUUUCCCGUUGA